UACGUAGGGCGCAAGCGUUGUCCGGAAUUAUUGGGCGUAAAGAGCUCGUAGGCGGUCUGUUACGUCCGCUGUGAAAACCCAGGGCUUAACCCUGGGCUUGCAGUGGAUACGGGUAGACUAGAGGCAGGUAGGGGAGAAUGGAAUUCCCGGUGUAGCGGUGAAAUGCGCAGAUAUCGGGAGGAACACCGGUGGCGAAGGCGGUUCUCUGGGCCUGAC
rnacentral:rRNA from 1 species